GACGAACGCUGGCGGCGUGCUUAACACAUGCAAGUCGAACGGAAAGGCCCUGCUUUUGUGGGGUGCUCGAGUGGCGAACGGGUGAGUAACACGUGAGUAACCUGCCCUUGACUUUGGGAUAACUUCAGGAAACUGGGGCUAAUACCGGAUAGGAGCUCCUGCUGCAUGGUGGGGGUUGGAAAGUUUCGGAGGUUGGGGAUGGACUCGCGGCUUAUCAGCUUGUUGGUGGGGUAGUGGCUUACCAAGGCUUUGACGGGUAGCCGGCCUGAGAGGGUGACCGGCCACAUUGGGACUGAGAUACGGCCUAGACUCCUACGGGAGGCAGCAGUGGGGAAUAUUGCACAAUGGGCGGAAGCCUGAUGCAGCAACGCCGCGUGCGGGAUGACGGCCUUCGGGUUGUAAACCGCUUUCGCCUGUGACGAAGCGUGAGUGACGGUAAUGGGUAAAGAAGCACCGGCUAACUACG
rnacentral:rRNA from 1 species